CAGCCGCCACGGUAAUACGAAGGGUGCAAGCGUUAAUCGGAAUUACUGGGCGUAAAGCGUGCGUAGGCGGUUUGUUAAGUAUGUUGUGAAAUCCCCGGGCUCAACCUGGGAAUGGCAAUGGAUACUGGCAAGCUAGAGUGUGUCAGAGGAUGGUGGAAUUCCCGGUGUAGCGGUGAAAUGCGUAGAGAUCGGGAGGAACAUCAGUGGCGAAGGCGGCCAUCUGGGACAACACUGACGCUGAGGCACGAAAGCGUGGGGAGCAAACAGGAUUAGAUACCCGUGUAGUCCCUGUCUCUUAUAC
rnacentral:rRNA from 1 species